rnacentral:rRNA from 1 species
UACAGAGGUCCCAAGCGUUGUUCGGAUUCAUUGGGCGUAAAGGGUGCGUAGGCGGCGCGGUAAGUCGGGUGUGAAAUCUCGGGGCUUAACUCCGAAACUGCAUUUGAUACUGCCGUGCUUGAGGACUGGAGAGGAGACUGGAAUUUACGGUGUAGCGGUGAAAUGCGUAGAUAUCGUAAGGAAGACCAGUGGCGAAGGCGGGUCUCUGGACAGUUCCUGACGCUGAGGCACGAAGGCCAGGGGAGCAAACGGG